rnacentral:lncRNA from 1 species
AGUAGUAAUCAUAAAGAUGUAAGGUCAAAACGACUAAGGCUUCGUUUGGGAUUGUGGAGAGAUUACGUUAUAUGCAGUGAAAAACGACGAUAAAAAAAUACCUUGUUUGUUUCGAUACGUAAUAUUGCGUUCCGCAUAUCGGGAUUAGUCGAUUACAAUAUAUUUUCUGUGCUCCCACCGGAGAAUACAGAAGCAUAUACCUAUAUGCUUUACCCUAACUCCAUUUUAUUUAAUAGUGUCAGAUAAGUCUCAAUAACAAACAAAGUCUAAUACUGUGUGAAAAGAAAGUACAUGUUAGAAAUAGAAUA